GGUUCCAUGGUGCAAUGGUUAGUACUCUGGACUUUGAAUCCAGUGAUCCGAGUUCGAGUCUCGGUGGAACCU
rnacentral:tRNA from 1 species